rnacentral:rRNA from 1 species
GCAUAUCAAUAAGCGGAGGAAAAGAAACCAACAGGGAUUGCCUCAGUAACGGCGAGUGAAGCGGCAAGAGCUCAAAUUUGAAAGCUGGCCCCCUCGGGGUCCGCGUUGUAAUUUGCAGAGGAUGCUUCGGGUGCAGCCCCCGUCUAAGUGCCCUGGAACGGGCCGUCAUAGAGGGUGAGAAUCCCGUCUGGGACGGGGUGUCUGCGUCCGUGUGAAGCUCCUUCGACGAGUCGAGUUGUUUGGGAAUGCAGCUCUAAAUGGGUGGUAAAUUUCAUCUAAAGCUAAAUACUGGCCGGAGACCGAUAGCGCACAAGUAGAGUGAUCGAAAGAUGAAAAGCACUUUGAAAAGAGAGUUAAACAGCACGUGAAAUUGUUGAAAGGGAAGCGUUUGCGACCAGACUCGCCCGCGGGGUUCAGCCGGCAUUCGUGCCGGUGUACUUCCCCGUGGGCGGGCCAGCGUCGGUUUGGGCGGCCGGUCAAAGGCCCUCGGAAUGUAUCACCUCUCGGGGUGUCUUAUAGCCGAGGGUGCAAUGCGGCCUGCCCGGACCGAGGAACGCGCUUCGGCUCGGACGCUGGCGUAAUGGUCGUAAAUGACCCGUCUUGAAACACGGACC